rnacentral:lncRNA from 1 species
GCGAGAACAUCAUGAAAGCCUGUCUGAGCCAACACAAUUUUUAUUUUUACUCUGAGCUUGUGUGUUUCCUGCUUCGUUGGUGAUAGAAUCACCUUUUUUUAAUGAAAAGAUGGUAAUGGCAGUGUUCUUUUUUUUUUUUAAACAUUCUUUCUUGGCAAAUUAAAGUGUUGGAAACUCUUUGUCAAUUCCUUGAAAUUUGUUGAAGCUGGUCUGUGAAAUCUAGGAGUCUGGGAUGUCUGCUCUAGGAAACAUCUUGUGGCAUUCUGUAGGCGGAAGCGGUACGGUGCAGUAGGAAGUGUGGGCACCUCAGCCAUCCUCUGUCGCAGACACACUGGGUGACGUCACUCAGGGAAAUUCUAUUUCUGGGUUUCACUUUUCUAGCCUCUAAAAUGAGGAGAGCGGUUUAAAAGGAGCCUGAAUCCAUGAAGGCGCACAGGACAAAGAGAGUACACAGGUAGGGUAGAGUCAAUAAGUCGAGCAGACCUGGCCACAAGGAGGGACAGGACCCCCAGAGCUGGGCCAUGUGGCUCUUAAUAAAAGGAGAGCUCUAGUCAGCAACAUGGUCACCACACAGGAAAGAAAUCCUGAGGUUACGGUCACCUCCUUGAACUUUUCAAGAAAAAAGCAGAAAUUGUGGCUCCCUGUUUGUAAACAGUCAAAACGACACUGUGUAGCCCACAAAACACAUGGGUGGGCUGGGUUCAGCUACAGAGUGAUAUGUUUGUUUCCUAGGGCUGCCAUAACAAAUUACCACACACUGGGUGGCUUAAAACAGCAGAAAUUCAUUCUUUCCCAAGUUUUGGAGGCCAGAAGUUUGAAAUCAAAGUGUUGAUAGGCCCAUGCUCCCUCCAAAGGCUCUAGGGGAGGAUCCUUCUUUACCUCUUCCAGUUUCCACCAUUCCUUGGCGUUCCUUGGCUUGCCGCUACAUCACUCCAACCUCUGCCUCUUCUUUGCCUGGCCUACUCUAUACGUCUGUGUCUUCUCCUCUUCUCAAAAAGGCCUGCUGUAGGAUUUAGGGUCCCUCCUAAUCUAGGGUGACCUCAUCUCUGAUUGAUUAUAUCUGCCAAGACCCUAUUCCCAACUAAGAUCAUAUUCACAGGAACCACCAGUUAGAACUUGGUCAUAUCUUUUAGUGGAUUUGAUUCAACACUCUACAA